GGCUGGCGGCGAGCUCUGGCGCCAGUAUGGCGUUUGUAGCGGGAGUGAUCCGGCGUCUGGACGAGACGGUGGUGAACCGCAUAGCGGCGGGGGAGGUUAUCCAGCGGCCGGCUAAUGCUAUCAAAGAGAUGAUUGAAAACUGUUUAGAUGCAAAGUCUACAAAUAUUCAAGUGAUUGUUAAAGAAGGAGGCCUGAAGCUAAUUCAGAUUCAGGACAAUGGCACUGGAAUCAGGAAGGAAGAUCUGGACAUUGUGUGUGAGAGGUUCACCACAAGUAAACUGCAGACUUUUGAAGAUUUAGCCAGUAUUUCCACCUAUGGCUUUCGGGGUGAGGCUUUGGCAAGUAUAAGCCAUGUGGCUCAUGUUACUAUUACAACCAAAACAGCUGAUGGAAAAUGUGCAUACAGGGCAAGUUACUCGGAUGGAAAGUUGCAAGCCCCUCCUAAACCAUGUGCAGGCAACCAGGGUACCCAGAUUACGGUGGAGGACCUUUUUUACAACAUAAUGACAAGGAGGAAAGCUUUGAAAAAUCCAAGUGAAGAGUAUGGGAAGAUUUUGGAAGUUGUUGGCAGGUAUUCAAUACAUAAUUCAGGCAUUAGUUUCUCAGUUAAAAAACAAGGUGAGACAGUUGCUGAUAUCAGAACACUACCCAAUGCUACAACAGUGGACAACAUUCGCUCCAUCUUCGGGAGUGCUGUUAGUCGAGAGCUGAUAGAAGUUGGGUGUGAAGAUAAAACCCUGGCUUUCAAAAUGAAUGGCUAUAUAUCCAAUGCAAACUACUCUGUGAAGAAGUGCAUUUUCCUACUCUUCAUCAACCACCGGCUGGUGGAAUCAACUGCCUUGAGAAAAGCCAUAGAAACUGUAUAUGCAGCAUAUUUGCCCAAAAACACACACCCAUUCUUAUACCUCAGUUUGGAAAUCAGUCCCCAGAAUGUAGAUGUCAAUGUGCACCCCACCAAGCAUGAAGUCCACUUUCUGCAUGAGGAGAGCAUCCUGGAGCGGGUGCAGCAGCACGUUGAGGGCAAGCUGUUGGGCUCCAAUUCGUCCAGGAUGUAUUUCACCCAGACCUUGCUUCCGGGACUUGCUGGACCCUCCGGGGAGGUGGUUAAAUCCACAGUGGGUGUGGCUUCCUCAUCUGCUAGUGGAAGUGGUGACAAGGUCUACGCUUACCAGAUGGUCCGCACAGACUCCCGGGACCAGAAGCUUGACGCCUUUCUCCAGCCUGUGAGCAAGGUUCUGCCCAGCCCACCCCAGGAGCCUGUCCAAGAAGACAGGACUGACAUGCAAAAGGACGUGGAGAUGUUGGAGCUCCCAAUCCCCUCUGAAGCAGCUGCCUCAAGUCAGAACUUGGAGGAUACGGUACAAGGGGUUGCAGAAGCGGCACAGAAAGCAGCAGCCCCUUCCAGUCCAAGCAACCCCAGAAAGAGACAUCGGGAAGAUUCUGAUGUGGAAAUGAUGGAAAAUGACUCCCGGAAGGAAAUGACAGCUGCUUGUCACCCUCGGAGGAGGAUUAUUAACCUCACCAGUGUGUUGAGUCUCCAGGAAGAAAUUAAUGAGCGCGGCCAUGAGACUCUCCGAGAGAUGCUCCGGAACCAUUCUUUUGUGGGCUGUGUGAAUCCUCAGUGGGCCUUGGCACAGCACCAGACCAAGCUGUACCUCCUCAACACCACCAAGCUUAGUGAAGAACUGUUCUACCAGAUACUCAUUUAUGAUUUUGCCAAUUUUGGUGUUCUGAGGUUAUCGGAACCAGCGCCUCUCUUUGACCUCGCCAUGCUGGCCUUAGACAGUCCUGAAAGUGGCUGGACAGAGGAAGAUGGCCCUAAGGAAGGACUUGCAGAGUACAUUGUUGAGUUUCUGAAGAAGAAAGCUGAGAUGCUUGCAGACUAUUUCUCUUUGGAAAUUGAUGAGGAAGGAAACCUGAUUGGAUUACCCCUUCUGAUUGACAACUAUGUACCCCCUUUGGAGGGACUGCCUCUCUUCAUCCUUCGACUGGCCACAGAGGUGAAUUGGGAUGAAGAGAAGGAAUGUUUUGAAAGCCUCAGUAAAGAAUGUGCUGUGUUUUACUCGGUUCGGAAGCAGUAUAUACUGGAGGAGUCAACCCUCUCAGGCCAGCAGCCUCCCAAGAAGUUGUGACUGCAGACCUGUCUGUCACCAGGCCUGGUUGGAAGGAUCUUACCAACCCUGAAGCUGAUCAACUUGGUCUGGCUGGCCAACAAGCUGCAGUGAACCUCAGGUGUCUACCUCUCCAAUGCUGGGAUUACAGAUGCACACUACAGUGCUUGCUACUGGCAAUUCAAAUCCAGGACACAAUUGCACAAUGAACUAAUGGUUUCAGAAGAGCAGACAUCUUACCUGUGACAUGAGCUCCUCCUUUUCUCCAGCGAGUUUCCGUAGCCUCACAUCUGGAACAGGUGGGGAAGCUGUCAACUGGACUUGUAAAGGUGCUUACAAAUAGCCAGCAUCUACUCAAUUACAUUGUUUACAUUCUCAACAUGAAAAGAAGCAAAGGCUUUAAUUGCAAUCAAAAGAAUAUUCUCCAAACUCCCAGCCAGUGACACUUAUGACACCAAAUAAAAUGUCUGCUCCCAGAGCAGUGACUUUCUGCCUAGAGACAAACUGGAGUCCCGAGGAAGCCAUUCUUUUGUUGUUGCAAAACUGUGCAAGCUUUCCCAGUUGUCUUCAGAAGUUCUCAACCUUGGUGGGAGCAGGAUAUGGAUCAUGAGUGGGACCCAAGAGUUCGGAGCAAGGUGCUGCGUACUGUUGGCAGCAGUGGGCCCGCGAUGGCUAAUGGGGGAGCAGGUCAAGAAUGUCGAAGGACAGUGUGGCUGGAUUCUUGUUUAAAUAGCCCGUAUACUGGCCCCCAUCCCUACCCCAGGCUAGAAGCCCAACAUCAAUCCAGAAUGAAAUAACAAGCAGUGUCUCACCUAGUGGC